rnacentral:rRNA from 1 species
AAAACAUUGGUGAGAAUCCAAUGCCCCGAAAACCUAAGGUUUCCCCCGGAAGGCUCGUCCGCGGGGGGUGAGUCAGGACCUAAGGCGAGGUCGAAAGACGUAGUCGAUGGACAAUAGGUUAAUAUUCCUAUACCGUUUUUUAUUGGCAACGAGGGACGAAGAAGGCUAAACUUAUCCAGAUAGUGGUCACUGGUCCAAGCAUUCAAGGUUAUGAGAAAUAGUGAAAAUAUUUUGAGCUGAGAUGUGAUGGGGAGAUACUUAGUAUUGAAGUAGUUGAUGUCAUGCUUCCAAGAAAAGCUUGCACUGUCAUAAAUAGAAAACGCCUGUACCCUAAACCGACACAGGUAGGUAGGUAGAGUAUACUAAGGGGCGCGAGAUAACUCUCUCUAAGGAACUCGGCAAAAUAACCCCGUAACUUUGGGAGAAGGGGUACCCUAUGGGUUGCAAUAACAAGGUCCAAGCGACUGUUUAUCAAAAACACAGGUCUCUGCUAAACCGUAAGGUGAUGUAUAGGGGCUGACGCCUGCCCGGUGCUGGAAGGUUAAAAGGAGGGGUGAGAGCUCUGAAUUGAAGCCCCAGUAAACGGCGGCCGUAACUAUAACGGUCCUAAGGU